GACGUAGGGGGCCAGCGUUGCUCGGAAUUACUGGGCGUAAAGGGUUCGUAGGCGGUGCGGCAAGUCGGAAGUGAAAUCUCCAGGCUCAACUUGGAGGCUGCUCCCGAAACUGCCGUGCUAGAGUGCGGGAGAGGCCAGUGGAAUUGCAGGUGUAGCGGUGAAAUGCGCAGAUAUCAGGAGGAACACCGGUGGCGAAGGCGGAUCUCUGGGCCUUACCUGACGCUGAGGCGCGAAAGCUAGGGGAGCAAACAGG
rnacentral:rRNA from 1 species